GAGCCAGGGCCAGGGCCUGGGCGGAAGCGGGGCUGGAGUCCGAACCAGCGCGGCGCGGGGCGGGGCAGCAGGGGGAGUCGGAGGCGCAGAGCGGGGCAGAGCGGGGCGGAGCGGGGCGGGGCCCAGGAGCCGGCGUG
rnacentral:miRNA from 1 species